rnacentral:rRNA from 1 species
AUGGUUAAGUGAAUAAGGGCGCACGGUGAAUGCCUUGGCACUAGGAGCCGAAGAAGGACGGAACGAACACCGAUAUGCUUUGGGGAGCUGUAAGUAAGCUAAGAUCCAGAGAUUUCCGAAUGGGGGAACCCAACACCCGUGAUGGGGUGUUACGCAUAAGCGCAGGCUUAUGACGAGGUAGACGCGGGGAACUGAAACAUCUCAUUACCCGCAGGAAGAGAAAGAAAAAUCGAUUCCCUGAGUAGCGGCGAGCGAAACGGGAGGAGCCCAAACCUGAGGACUUCGGUUCUUGGGGGUUGCGGACCUGCAACAAGACAUAAGCUUUAGUGGAAGCAUCUGGGAAGGUGCGGCGAAGAGAGUGAGACCCUCGUACACGAAAGAGCGAGUGUUGGGCAGGGAUCCAGAGUACCACAGGGCACGAGGAACCCGGUGGGAAGCAGGGUGGACCACCAUCCAAGGCUAAAUACAUCGAAACGACCGAUAGCGAUGAGUACCGUGAGGGAAAGGUGAAAAGAACCCCGGGAGGGGAGUGCAAUAGAACCUGAAACCGUAUGUCUACAAACAGUCGGAGCACUUUAGAUGUGCGACGGCGUGCCUAUUGAAGAAUGAACCGGCGAGUUAAUUUAUGCUGCGAGGUUAAGCGGGAGACGCGGAGCCGAAGCGAAAGCGAGUCUUAAGAGGGCGGAAGUAGCAUGGAUUAGACCCGAAACCACAGUGAUCUAUGC